rnacentral:rRNA from 1 species
UACGUAGGGUGCGAGCGUUAAUCGGAAUUACUGGGCGUAAAGCGUGCGCAGGCGGUUUUGUAAGUCAGAUGUGAAAUCCCCGGGCUCAACCUGGGAAUGGCAUUUGGUACUGCAAGGCUGGAGUACGGCAGAGGAGACUGGAAUUCCUGGUGUAGCAGUGAAAUGCGUAGAUAUCAGGAGGAAUACCGAUGGCGAAGGCAGGUCUCUGGGCUGAUACUGACGCUCAUGCACGAAAGCGUGGGGAGCAAACAGG